rnacentral:rRNA from 1 species
CUUGCUCCUGGAUUCAGCGGCGGACGGGUGAGUAAUGCCUAGGAAUCUGCCUGGUAGUGGGGGAUAACGUCCGGAAACGGGCGCUAAUACCGCAUACGUCCUGAGGGAGAAAGUGGGGGAUCUUCGGACCUCACGCUAUCAGAUGAGCCUAGGUCGGAUUAGCUAGUUGGUGGGGUAAAGGCCUACCAAGGCGACCAUCCGUAACUGGUCUGAGAGGAUGAUCAGUCACACUGGAACUGAGACACGGUCCAGACUCCUACGGGAGGCAGCAGUGGGGAAUAUUGGACAAUGGGCGAAAGCCUGAUCCAGCCAUGCCGCGUGUGUGAAGAAGGUCUUCGGAUUGUAAAGCACUUUAAGUUGGGAGGAAGGGCAGUAAGUUAAUACCUUGCUGUUUUGACGUUACCAACAGAAUAAGCACCGGCUAACUUCGUGCCAGCAGCCGCGGUAAUACGAAGGGUGCAAGCGUUAAUCGGAAUUACUGGGCGUAAAGCGCGCGUAGGUGGUUCAGCAAGUUGGAUGUGAAAUCCCCGGGCUCAACCUGGGAACUGCAUCCCAAACUACUGAGCUAGAGUACGGUAGAGGGUGGUGGAAUUUCCUGUGUAACGGUGAAAUGCGUACAUCUUGGAAGGAA